rnacentral:rRNA from 1 species
CGUGGAGUGAUUUGUCUGGUUUAUUCCGAUAACGAGCGAGACUCUAGCCUACUAAAUAGGACGCUCAUUUUUUAAGGUGAUGUGGUACUUCCUAGAGGAAUUUUCGGUGUUUAACCGCAUGAAAUUGAGCAAUAACAGGUCUGUGAUGCCCUUAGAUGUCCGGGGCUGCACGCGCGCUACACUGGUAAAGUCAGCGUGCAUUUCCUCUCUCGAAAGGGAUUGGUAAACCCUUGAACGUUUACCGUGAUUGGGAUCGGAAAUUGCAAUUAUUUUCUGUGAACGAGGAAUUCCAAGUAAAUGUGAGUCAUCAACUCGCGUUGAAUACGUCCCUGCCCUUUGUAC